rnacentral:rRNA from 1 species
AUGCCGGCGAAGCGGCUGCUGGAGGGCGGCGGCGGAGGGGACUCCCCGUCGCCGGCGCGUUCGCCAGCGCUGAAGAAGAGGUGUCGCUCCUUCGACCUAGAGAUCAGGGGAUGCAGGCAUCUGGAGGAGAUGGUCACCAACUGCGUGCAGAGGGUGGAGGCUGCGGUUGAGUCCGUGAUUGAGUCUGCCAUCAGCCGGAUACCAGAAGCGGUGACUAAAGCGAUUACAGGCUACUUAAGCCGUGCUCCUAGUUUGUGCAGAACGGUGGUUGACCAAAACCAGCCUCCAAGAUACAAGCUUAGGUUCCUGAAUGGCUUGAGUAAUGAAAUUUUCACAAAGAAGGGAAUCCGCGCAGCAAAUGGCGAUCCUCUCAAGAUAUGUCUGGAGGACAACAACCAACAAGAGAACAAUUCUCAUCGCCUUCUUUCUGCCAAGAUAAAAAUUGUUGUUCUCGAUGGCGACUUCAACAUAGAUAAUGAAGAUUGCUGGAUAUUAGAGAAUUUCAGCAGACAUAUCGUACGUCCACGGGACAAAAUUGGGGCAGUGCUGACGGGAGAGCUCGAGCUUAGCCUGAAGAAUGGCAAGGCUGAUCUCCGUGACGCUACUUUUAUUGAUAACUCCAAGUUCACGAGGAGUGGCAAGUUCAGGCUUGGGGUAAUGGUUGUUGACGAGCUUGGUGAACGGAUCCUAGAAGGGGUAACUGAACCUUUCACAGUAAAGGAUCGUCGCGGAGAAGGAUCCCAAAAGCAUGGCAUUCCAUCAUUGGAUGAUGAUGUUUGGCGCCUGCAGAAAAUUUCAAAGGAUGGUGUCUUCCAUGAGGCACUCAAAGGGAGUGGCAUCUUUUCUGUGAAGGAUUUCUUGACGUCAUAUUACAAGGAUGAACAUACUCUCCGCAAAGUUCUCAAAAAGGCCACAAAGCUAGUAUGGACGACUAUUGUUGAUCAUGCUAAAAAGUGUGAUCCUGGAAAGGAGCUUUACUCUUUCAUCGUGGAAGGCCAUGAUGUUGUUCUGUUCUUCAACUGUUUCUAUAGGAUUGUUGGAGUCACAUCCAGUGACCAGUACACUCCCUUCAAGAACCUCGAUCAACGGAUGCAGGGGCGGGUGGAACAAUGGAGCAAAGUUGCAUAUGAAACUUGGACCAACCUUCAGCCUGAUUAUGUAAUGGAUAAUGGAAAACCAAGACCAAUCAACCAGAGUAUUUCCCAAGGGUCGAUCAUGCUGGAACCUAAAUUUAUGCAAGGACAUCAACAGAAUUGUGCAGAGCGAAAUGUUCAUGAAGCUGAUGGUCAUCAAGGUACUUCAGGCAGUCAUCCCAAGCAGUGCACAUUAAAAAGGCUUGGAUCCAUACGAGUGACACCAAAUGAAGAAGAUGCGUCUUUUGACAUCAGUGUUUACCUUGGUUCUGGCUCCGAACAAUACCAUGGAAGCACCGCUGCAAAUGACAUACCCGGUUCAGUCACGCUCCAUUGCCCCGCUGCAGAUGAAUUUUCAGGAUCCGUGUUAUUAAAGCAAGCAUCCUUGACAAUGGUCGAUGAGGACUAUGACAUACCUUUUGUAACCAGUGAUGCUUCACUCCAUCUGUUUGAUGUGUCUGCUUUAGGCGCUUUCACAGAUGAGCCUAUUUACUCGAGGCAUGUCAGCUUCAGAGAGAGCGACUGUCACGAGAUGCUAGCAUUGGGAGCAGAACCAUCUGUUUGA